AAAGGGAGGGGCUUGAAAGGACUGGCUGAUAGAAAUGUAGUAUAUAUAUAGUUGCCUUUAGUUUGUAUAGUAUUUAUUUGUGUAAAUAAAUGUAUAUACUUCCCCCUUCCCCUACAGAAGCCUCUAGCCUGAAACUUUCUCUCCGGUGUUAAGAUAAUUGUGGGAAGCGGUGGGGGAAGCCUGGAAAUUGGAUUUUAGAUUUCUAAUGUGGCUCAAACUGCCACACCUUAUUAUAAAAUUCACAUGGACUGAGGUCAAGCAAAAAUUUGAAACAUAUUUUGGUAUAGCUCAUACUUACUUCUUGUCUUUUGCUCCUCACAAUGAUAUGUAUUGUGUUUGAAAAUAUAUGGAUAGAAUUUCAGAUGUUGUUACAACCUCCCAAAAAUCUUCUAGUGGAUUAAAAACAGGAAAGCAUUGUGAGGCGCUGUGGUAAUGGGUGUAAUUGAAACAUCUAGACUGAUUUGCUACCACAGGUUGUAAGCAAAUGAUGUAUAAGCAUAUGGUAGGUUGCAUAUGUGUGAAGAGGAACUACUCCUGAUGUUGUUUUGCAGGGUGGGAACCUUUACAAGACGCUAAUGACAAUGAUGAAGAACACAAUAAACGUUCUGCAGAGGCCCUUUCUGCUGCACUGUCAGCAGAAUUCCAUCUUUUCUCUAAACCAACAGAGAAUUUAAUUGCUAAUACCUAAUUAAUACUCUUUUCCAUUAGCUACUGGUCCACAUAUAUCUCAAAUCUAAAAACCAUUCUCCAGCAUUUCUCUCUUUCUUUUUCAGGCUCUGUGACCUGCCCAAGUUCCAGAGAGGUAUUUUUCCUAAGGUUAGAGCCUCUGUUGCAAGUAAGGUACCUGAAAUUCUUCAAAGACAUUAUCUCUAUUGCUGGAAGCUCUGGCCUGGAAAUUGAGCAAUCAUGGUUGCUAUUUAGAAACAAUCUGGUGGACUGGUCUGUGUGAGAAAAGAGGAAUUCAGCAUGAAUAUCUUUGUCUGCAUCUGCCCAGGGAAGAACUGAAAUUAUAUUCUCUGAUACUGAGACAAAAACUGCAAUGCUGCAUUCAAAUUCAUCCCAAAUUGGUGUGAAAAUACAUGAGUUUCAAUUUAGUGCCUCAGAUUUUUGCCUCAUGAGGAAGCAAGCUGCAGAAAACUGACUGCCUAUGGAAUAUUCAGCAGAGAGAGCAAGAUAGUGUUGGAAGGGAGAGAAUUUCUGUGGUGUCAUUUGGGAAGGCUGCUAAAAAAUAAAGUUCCACAAAAGUAGCAUGUGAGAAUUUGAGCAAAAUAAGCUUUUCAAACUUACCAGGUCAGUGAAAAGAAAAAAGGCCAGAAAAUCGACAUUAUUUAGCACUCCCUUUAGAGGGGCAGCAUGCAUCCAGUGUACAAAUUUAUAACAGAAGAAUCAGUAACCUCUGUCUUCCAUCAGCGUUAUAUCAACACACAAUGUAACACUUUGAGAGCUGCUGGGAACUGGACUCCCAAUACCUUGGACUGCAGUUCAUGGCUGCUGUAACCAGCUUUGUGUUUUCUUCUACAGGACUUGACAUUCUCGGAAAGUCUCCACUUCUCCCUUGCUGUAUACAAUAUCCAUGGCCACUGCAGCACUCAAACUCUGUGUUUAAAGGCAGCAGUUCUAUUCUGAUCAAAGUUUUUUGCGCUUCACUUUGUCACUUGAAUUCUCAUGUCAGUGGCAGAAUGAAAACCCAGCCAUUGACUUUGGUAAAAAUCAAACACCUUGCAUCAUCUUCGUAGUAGAACAUCCCUAAAAUAAAAGACCAUUUUUAAAAACAUAACUUCUGACUAUAUGUUUUAGAUGACUUUAUUCUUGUCCCUUGUUUACUUGUGUUUUUUUUUUUAUAAAGUGUGCACUAUCUGUCCAGAAGUAAAUGAAAGAUUUUAUAUUUUUUAACAACUUCGUGUU